GCCGCCGCCGUCGCCGCCGUCGCCGCCGUCGCCGUCCUUCCAGCAGCGCGGGCCGGUCGGACCGCCCAGGCACCCCGCGCUGGCGAUGGGAAACGGCGCGGCCGUGGACCCAGGUUGUGGCAAAGUUUCCCCGACGCGCGUAUCCGGGCGCGCGGCUGCCGGCCACCCGUGACCGCUUCCAGAAGGGCUAGGAGAUUUUUAAUUUGGAAAAAAUCCACCUCGUUUCCUUUGUCAAGCUCUCUCUCCGGGUGGCCAGCGGCGGGAGCUCCAAACUUGGGCACGGCGGCUCCACCGCAAGCAGCUCCGGCUGUUGGAGGACCUUGGGACUCAGGUGCUCGGGCGCCCAGCGGCCCGGGGCGGGCGAGGGGGUGUGCGCGCGCGGGGGAGUGCCGGCGCGCGGCGAGGAGGGUCCCCCGGGAGCUCUAUAUGGAGGAAGGAGCCCAGAAUGGUGUGCACCAGGAAGACCAAAACUUUGGUGUCCACUUGCGUGAUCCUGAGCGGCAUGACCAACAUCAUAUGUCUGCUCUACGUGGGCUGGGUCACCAACUACAUUGCCAGCGUGUAUGUGCGGGGGCAGGAGCCGGCGCCUGACAAGAAGCUGGAGGAAGACAAAGGGGACACCCUGAAGAUUAUUGAACGGCUAGACCACCUGGAGAAUGUCAUCAAGCAGCAUAUCCAAGAGGCUCCCGCCAAGCCCGAGGAGGCAGAGGCUGAGCCCUUCACAGACUCCUCUCUGUUUGCACACUGGGGCCAGGAGCUCAGCCCUGAAGGCCGGCGCAUGGCCCUGAAGCAGUUCCAGUACUACGGCUACAACGCCUACCUCAGUGACCGUCUGCCCCUCGACCGGCCUCUGCCUGACCUCAGACCCAGUGGGUGCCGCAACCUCUCCUUCCCCGAUAGCCUGCCAGAGGUGAGCAUCGUGUUCAUCUUCGUCAACGAAGCACUCUCAGUGCUACUGCGCUCCAUCCACUCAGCCAUUGAACGCACACCUCCUCACCUGCUCAAGGAGAUCAUCCUGGUGGAUGACAACAGCAGCAACGAGGAGCUGAAGGAGAAGCUGACAGAGUACGUAGACAAGGUGAAUGGCCAGAAGCCGGGCUUCAUCAAGGUCGUGCGCCACAGCAAGCAGGAAGGCCUCAUCCGCUCCAGAGUCAGCGGCUGGAGGGUGGCCACCGCCCCCGUAGUGGCACUCUUUGAUGCCCAUGUGGAGUUCAAUGUGGGCUGGGCUGAACCUGUGCUCACCCGCAUAAAGGAGAACCGGAAGCGGAUCAUCUCCCCCUCCUUUGACAACAUCAAAUAUGACAACUUUGAGAUAGAAGAGUACCCGCUGGCUGCCCAGGGCUUUGACUGGGAGCUGUGGUGUCGUUACCUGAACCCCCCCAAGGCCUGGUGGAAGCUGGAGAAUUCGACCGCCCCAAUCAGGAGCCCCGCCCUCAUUGGCUGCUUUAUUGUGGACCGGCAGUACUUCCAGGAGAUCGGCUUACUGGACGAGGGCAUGGAGGUCUACGGAGGCGAGAAUGUCGAGCUGGGGAUCAGGGUGUGGCAGUGUGGCGGGAGCGUGGAAGUCCUGCCUUGUUCUCGGAUUGCCCACAUUGAGCGAGCCCACAAGCCCUACACCGAGGACCUCACAGCCCAUGUCCGCAGGAAUGCCCUCAGGGUGGCUGAAGUCUGGAUGGAUGAAUUUAAAAGCCAUGUCUACAUGGCAUGGAACAUACCCCAAGAGGACUCUGGAAUCGACAUUGGGGACAUCACCGCAAGGAAGGCCCUGAGAAAACAGCUGCAGUGCAAGACCUUCCGAUGGUACCUGGUCAGCGUGUACCCGGAGAUGAGGAUGUACUCGGACAUCAUUGCCUAUGGAGUGCUGCAGAACUCUCUGAAGACCGAUUUGUGUCUUGAUCAGGGUCCAGACACAGAGAACGUUCCCAUCGUGUACAUCUGCCACGGAAUGACACCGCAGACUCCGGAGCAAUAAGCAGCUCCAGUGACAGCUGUGCCAGAUAGGAACCGCACGCGUGCCUCUCCAAGCGUCGCCCCCAAGCACUUCAGAGCAGCUAAGUGAAUAAAACUGAUUUCAGCUAUUACCUGCACAGCCGCUUGUGUCUCUACAACCUGCCCCGGAGACCAGAGUCAGGCCCUGGUGACAGCGAUGAAAGAAGGAUGGCAGUCACUAGCUUCCUAGCUGUCCUUGUCAGGCAGCCCACACUGCCGAGCCUCGGGAAAUCUGGGUCCCAGUAAACAGGGUGACUGAGAGCUACACUCUGUCCUGAGGAGAGAGCGUGGGGCAUUCAACCCAACGUCAUGAGUAGCUCUGCACUUUUUGGAGAGAGGCUCAGGUGGCAGGCUGAGAGGCCCCAUGCUUUUGCAUAUUCGUGGAAGGCUUUCAGGAGGUGGUGUUUUUAUUUCUAUUUUCAAAGGAGCGAGAGUUGGGUUAGGUGAAUGGAGGAAGCACAGACAAUGCUCAUUUUAGUGUGAUUAGAGCCAUUAUUUCCUGAAAUGUUAGUUUCCCCACCUUGGCUCUUGGAUCAUCCAGGACAGGGACUAUAGCUUUCUCAUCUCUAUUAUCCUCAGAUCUCAACUUAGAGAUUGUUGUUGGACAGACAGAUGAAUGGAUGGAUGGUGGAUGGAUGGAGGAAUGAGAUGUCUACAAGCAUCUAUUUAAAUUCGUAAAUCUGACCAGUCAUCAUAUUCUCCCUCACCUCCAAUAAACUGGAAGCCACAACAGGUCAUUGGCUUUCCUUAGUGGUGAACUGGAAAUCCAGACCACACACUGGAGGGUCUCUCACUCAAUAUGGGUUCUGAAUAGGACCCUCUUGCCCCUGUGUUCUGGUCACAUGUCCACGCUGGAGCCAGGCCUUCUACAUUUGGCCUCUGCUCAGAACUUUGGUCACCUCUAUUAUGGGUAGAAUCAGUCAUCUCAGUAGUUAAAUGCCUAUUUCCAUGGAUUCCCAAAUCUGAUAACUUGUAAGAUGAUUUGAGAGAGUGCAUCCUUCCUGUAAUGAGUGUCUUCUCUUUGUCUCUCCAGAUCCACUCUCCAUCCUUUCCUUCUACUCUAGGACUCUGACUUUAUGGAAUGUUUCAGUGGGCUCCCAUGUUCUUUGGCUUCCAGCAGGGUUCUGCCAAUGGGCUGACCCAGCAGAAGAAUCAAGUGAGGAGGGGGGAGAGUAAAGUUGGGUUAUUUAUUCACCACCACUCAUCAAACCCCUCCAUCCCUGAAGCCUUCUUCCAAGUCAACCCUCUCUAGAUGACUUUUACAGAUUCUGGUAACUUCUCUCUUCUCUCAUCCCUUGGGGUCUAGGAGUGGUAAUAGCCCCAUGUUAUUAUUCUCAGGGAACUAUACUAUCCCUAUGGUUGCCUUACAUCCUACCCACAUCAUUGAGACUUGUGCCUUUAUUAUACCCUCUUUGGAUUCCCCCACCUUGAGUGUGCCAUCUGUUUCCAGUUAGGGCCUUGACUGAUACACUGGCCUGAGGAUCUUCUUAUGUCUGAAGGGUGAUCCUACCUGCCUCUCCAUGCCCUCCUUGGACUUCCAAAGAACGUGUACUACACGAGCAGUCAGCAGAUCCACGUGGGCAUCCUGAGCCCCACGGUCGACGAUGAUGACAACCGGUGCCUGGUGGAUGUCAACAGUCGGC